GCCAUCUGCAAGCGCACAAGAAAAUGUGAGAUUUCUGUGCAAGAUACCGAAAAAAAUCCUAAUAGAAAUACUGCAUCAUCCUCUACAGACUUUGGUAGCUCUUUCUGUAUACUUCUGUUUUCAGUUCAUGUUAAUGAAAAGGCUCAUCCACCAGCAGGUUCGAGGAUUGCUGCCACGACAGACACUGACUACCUUGCGCCCACAGCUCCAAUCGGCCGCCUCAACAAUGGAGGGAUGAAGCAUGGUCCACUCGGACACAAAGUCCCCUGGAUACCCCCUGGGAUGUGGACAAAGUUCUGCCGGAGUGCUCUCCUGAAUGAGACUCCGAGACAUGGAUGCACAUACAGCAUAGGAUUGGAAGAAAGCGCCCACUGUAUUGCUGAGACCCAGAGCCACCAGCUCCUGUCGCAGAGCGAAGUCCAAAGUCACAAAGAGACGGCUGCACGACCUAAACUGCUG